rnacentral:rRNA from 1 species
CGUCGACCGGCGCACGGGUGAGUAACGCGUAUCCAACCCGCCCACCACUUGGGGAUAACCUUGCGAAAGUAAGACUAAUACCCAAUGAUAUCUCUAGAAGACAUCUGAAAGAGAUUAAAGAUUUAUCGGUGAUGGAUGGGGAUGCGUCUGAUUAGCUUGUUGGCGGGGUAACGGCCCACCAAGGCAACGAUCAGUAGGGGUUCUGAGAGGAGGGUCCCCCACAUUGGAACUGAGACACGGUCCAA